AGAAGCAAGGUGAAGAUGAGUGUGACCUGCUAGUUUAAUAUUAGGCAAGGGAAGGAUGGCAAGAAAUGGCAUCAUGUGCGAAUGGAAAAGGACUAAAGAAGAAUGAGGAAAAAAAAAACUUUAGCAGAAAGGCUUUGCAGUCCAUUGGAUACUGUCUCUUUUUGCUGUGGAUAUUUCUGAAGAGAGGAAGUACAACAGGAGGGCUCAAAUCCAAGAGAAGAUUGAAGAGUUAGAAAGACAAAAGAAGGAAGUAUAGAAAAGGUCACUAGCUACACUGACACAUAGAGUUAGCCUCUCUUCCCAUUCCUGCUCCACCUGACAUUAGUACCAAAGAUCAGGAUACCUUCCAAAGAAGCCAAAGGCAUUACAGGGAUGCAAAAUUUGAAUACGAAGGAAGAAACUCAAGAGUGCCUGAUCCAAAUCCCACUGGACUAGUGCCAAACUUGUCCUUGACCAGAGUGAGGUUUUGUUGAGAUCCCAUGCUCUGAUUUUGGCAGUCAGGUUGGCCACCACAUCACAACCCACUUCAGUUUGAAACAGAUGUCUGGAAUAGCUGCACUCAGUGCAGUGCAGAGGGUUUUACAGUACAUGAAAGGGUGCCUGUAAAUGUGAGCUGAGCAAGAAGCCCUCUGUGCACAGCAUCCCAGGAACAGCAGCAAGUGUGUCAGUGACAGCACAGAAGAAAUUUUCCAUGACUGUGUUUGGAGCUCUCACAAGUCUAACAUAACCGUACCUGCAGAUUACAGUACUCAAGAAAUUUGAAGGCAAUAAAGAGGUCAUGCAAAUGGAAAGAUAUUUAAAGACUUCUGAAUAAGAUUUCUGUUUCUCCUUAACAGAUGAAUUAAACCAACUUUAGAGAAAGGUAGAAAGGCUUUGCCUGCAAGAAAAUUUUGCUUGUGACAAAUAAAUGAAUAAUGAGGAAAGCUUUGUUAGGUGAUUUGUUUGAUCUAUAGAGGUU